UGGGGAAUAUUGGACAAUGGGGGCAACCCUGAUCCAGCCAUGCCGCGUGAGUGAUGAAGGCCUUCGGGUUGUAAAGCUCUUUUGGCGGGGACGAUGAUGACGGUACCCGCAGAAUAAGCCCCGGCUAACUUCGUGCCAGCAGCCGCGGUAAGACGAAGGGGGCAAGCGUUGUUCGGAAUUACUGGGCGUAAAGGGCGCGUAGGCGGUUUGCUUAGUCAGGCGUGAAAGCCCUGGGCUUAACCUGGGAUGUGCGCUUGAUACUGGCCGGCUUGAGUGUGGGAGAGGUUGGUAGAAUUCCCAGUGUAGAGGUUAAAUUCGUAGAUAGUGGGAAGAGCACCGGUGGCGAAGGCGGCCAACUGGACCACAACUGACGCUGAGGCGCGAAAGCGUGGGGAGCAAACA
rnacentral:rRNA from 1 species